rnacentral:rRNA from 1 species
UACAGAGGUCUCAAGCGUUGUUCGGAUUCAUUGGGCGUAAAGGGCUCGUAGGCGGCCAACUAAGUCAGACGUGAAAUCCCUCGGCUUAACCGGGGAACUGCGUCUGAUACUGGAUGGCUUGAGUUCGGGAGAGGGAUGCGGAAUUCCAGGUGUAGCGGUGAAAUGCGUUGAUAUUAUGGGGAACACCGAAAGCGAAGGCAAGAGACUGGUCCACUCCUGACGCUGAAACACGAAAGCGUGGGUCGCGAAUGGG